rnacentral:rRNA from 1 species
GAUGAACGCUGGCGGCGUGCCUAAUACAUGCAAGUCGAGCGAAUGGAUUGAGAGCUUGCUCUUAUGAAGUUAGCGGCGGACGGGUGAGUAACACGUGGGUAACCUGCCCAUAAGACUGGGAUAACUCCGGGAAACCGGGGCUAAUACCGGAUAACAUUUUGAACCGCAUGGUUCGAAAUUGAAAGGCGGCUUCGGCUGCCACUUAUGGAUGGACCCGCGUCGCAUUAGCUAGUUGGUGAGGUAACGGCUCACCAAGGCAACGAUGCGUAGCCGACCUGAGGGGGUGAUCGGCCACACUGGGACUGAGACACGGCCCAGACUCCUCCGGGAGGCAGCAGUAGGGAAUCUUCCGAAAUGGACGAAAGUCUGACGGAGCAACGCCGCGUGAGCGAAGAAGGCCUUCGGGUCGUAAAGCUCUGUUGUUAGGGAAGAACAAGUACGAGAGUAACUGCUCGUACCUUGACGGUACCUAACCAGAAAGCCACGGCUAACUACGUGCCAGCCGCCGCGGUAA